AACUUUUGGCAACGGAUCACUUGGCUCUCGCAUCGAUGAGGAACGCAGCGAAAUGCGAUAAGUAAUGUGAAUUGCAGAUUUUCAGUGAAUCAUCGAAUCUUUGAACGCACCUUGCGCUCCUUGGUAUUCCGAGGAGCAUGCCUGUUUGAGUGUCAUCAAAUUCUCAACUCCAAGGGUUUCACGACCUUUUGGAGAUUGGACUUGGAGGUGCCGGCCGAAUAUAUGGUCAGCUCCUCUCAAAUGCAUCAGCGGAAUUCAACCUUUGGCUUCCGGACGUCAGUGUGAUAAUCAUGUUGCGCUGUCGUUUGAUCCUCAGAGUCCGCUUAUAAUGGUCUUUGGACAAAUCAUCAUCAAAUUUUACCUCAAAUCAGGUAGGACUACCCGCUGAACUUAAGCAUAUCAAUAAGCGGAGGCU
rnacentral:misc_RNA from 1 species